GAUGAACGCUGGCGGCGUGCCUAAUACAUGCAAGUCGAGCGAACGGACGAGAAGCUUGCUUUUCUGAUGUUAGCGGCGGACGGGUGAGUAACACGUGGAUAACCUACCUAUAAGACUGGGAUAACUUCGGGAAACCGGAGCUAAUACCGGAUAAUAUUUUGAACCGCAUGGUUCAAAAGUGAAAGACGGUCUUGCUGUCACUUAUAGAUGGAUCCGCGCUGCAUUGGCUAGUUGGUAAGGUAACGGCUUACCAAGGCAACGAUGCAUAGCCGACCUGAGAGGGUGAUCGGCCACACUGGAACCGAGACACGGUCCAGACUCCUACGGGAGGCAGCAGUAGGGAAUCUUCCGCAAUGGGCGAAAGCCUGACGGAGCAACGCCGCGUGAGUGAUGAAGGUCUUCGGUUCGUAAAACUCUGUUAUUAGGGAAGAACAUAUGUGUAAGUAACUGUGCACAUCUUGACGGUACCUAAUCAGAAAGCCACGGCUAACUACGUG
rnacentral:rRNA from 1 species